rnacentral:rRNA from 1 species
AGAGUUUGAUCCUGGCUCAGGAUGAACGCUGGCGGCGUGCUUUAUGCAUGCAAGUCGAACGGUCCUUCCUGCAAGGGAAGGAUAGUGGCAAACGGGUGAGUAACACAUAAGUAACCUGCCCCUAAGUGGGGAAUAACUCUGAGAAAUCGGAGCUAAUACCGCAUAUGGUGCUGAGGGUAAGGCAUUAGCACUAGAGCCUUCGGGCGCUUGGGGAGGGGCUUGUGUCCGAUUAGCUAGUUGGUAGGGUAAUGGUCUACCAAGGCGGAGAUCGGUAGCUGGUCUGAGAGGAUGAUCAGCCACACUGGGACUGAGAUACGGCCCAGACUCCUACGGGAGGCAGCAGCAAGGAAUUUUGUGCAAUGGGCGAAAGCCUGACACAGCGACGCCGCGUGAGGGAUGAAGGCCUUCGGGUUGUAAACCUCUUUUCUUGGGGAAGAAUAAUGACGGUACCCGAGGAAUAAGCCAUGGCUAACUACGUGCCAGCAGCUGCGGUAAAACGUAGGUGGCGAGCGUUAUCCGGAUUUACUGGGCGUAAAGAGGGCGCAGGCGGUUUGGCAAGUCGGUUGUAAAAUCUCCCUGCUUAACGGGGAGGCAUCAUUCGAUACUGUUAGACUUGAGGGCAACAGGGGGAGGUAGAAUUCCCGGUGUAGUGGCGAAAUGCGUAGAUAUCGGGAGGAAUACCAGUGGCGAAGGCGGCCUCCUGGGUUGUUACUGACGCUUAAGCCCAAAAGCGUGGGGAGCAAACAGGAUUAGAUACCCUGGUAGUCC